GCCAGAAACGUCUACCUUAUCCCUCUUGAAAUGCUACCCUGAGAUUGACAUAUGGGGAGUCUGGGCUAGACUCCUCGAGGGUGAGAAACUAUGUGAAGCAAGGUCUGGCCAAUAGACAGCCCCAAAUGCCAGAAUUGGGAGUGAAGUCAUCAUAGACAAUCUGUCUCUAAUGGAGUCCCCAGAUGUGUGCAGAAUAGGAAUAGCCCCAGGAAAGACCAACAGAAGAACCACUCACCUGAGCUCAGCCCAAAUUGUUGACUCACAGAAUUAAUUACAAUCUCCUGUUCCCCCUGAAAGAGCCCAGAUAGAUUCCCAGAUGAGUAUCGGAAGAGGUAGCUGCCAUCAGGACUUGCUUGAUGGACCCAAGCACUCAUCUAAUAGUGGCACUGGAAGAAUUAAUCUGGCUGAUAUAUCAGACCUCUCUCCUCCGUGGGAACUUGCCAUUUUCUCCAGCCUCUGAGUUUUUCUAGUGAGAUUCAGAGAUACAGCCAAAUCGCCUUAUACAAGGCAGGUGCUUGAUACAGGUUGAAUGAAGAUUAUGUUUACCAGGUUCCAGCCUCAGAAUAUUGGAAUCCACUUUCUCUGAAUGCACGGAGAGCUAGAAGCACCUGGGAAUUUAUGUUGCCCAAGAGCAGCCCUUAGCCAAUGAUUGACAGGUGGAGGAGUUUAAAUACUUCACCUCCCUUGCUUCUUAACGGGAAUUACUUCAAAAUAUGCUGCCUCCAGAUCUCCCCUGCAGAUUGAGCCACAGUUAUCUUCUGCUAGACUUUGUUUGCUAUCACACACCUGCUUGGGUUUUUCCUGGAAACACUUCCUAUUAAACUGGUUUUAAAUGAGCCCUCAUUUCAGGAUCUGCUUCUAGGACCUUUGAUAGACAGCUUUUGACAUG
rnacentral:lncRNA from 1 species